rnacentral:rRNA from 1 species
AGCGUACACGGUGGAUGCCCUGGCAGUCAGAGGCGAUGAAGGACGUGCUAAUCUGCGAUAAGCGUCGGUAAGGUGAUAUGAACCGUUAUAACCGGCGAUUUCCGAAUGGGGAAACCCAGUGUGAUUCGUCACACUAUCAUUAACUGAAUCCAUAGGUUAAUGAGGCGAACCGGGGGAACUGAAACAUCUAAGUACCCGAGGAAAAGAAAUCAACCGAGAUUCCCCCAGUAGCGGCGAGCGAACGGGGAGCAGCCCAGAGCCUGAAUCAGUGUGUGUGUUAGUGGAAGCGUCUGGAAAGGCGUGCGAUACAGGGUGACAGCCCCGUACACAAAAAUGCACAUAUUGUGAGCUCGAUGAGUAGGGCGGGACACGUGGUAUCCUGUCUGAAUAUGGGGGACCAUCCUCCAAGGCUAAAUACUCCUGACUGACCGAUAGUGAACCAGUACCGUGAGGGAAAGGCGAAAAGAACCCCGGCGAGGGGAGUGAAAAAGAACCUGAAACCGUGUACGUACAAGCAGUGGGAGCACGCUUAGGCGUGUGACUGCGUACCUUUUGUAUAAUGGGUCAGCGACUUAUAUUCUGUAGCAAGGUUAACCGAAUAGGGGAGCCGAAGGGAAACCGAGUCUUAACUGGGCGUUAAGUUGCAGGGUAUAGACCCGAAACCCGGUGAUCUAGCCAUGGGCAGGUUGAAGGUUGGGUAACACUAACUGGAGGACCGAACCGACUAAUGUUGAAAAAUUAGCGGAUGACUUGUGGCUGGGGUGAAAGGCCAAUCAAACCGGGAGAUAGCUGGUUCUCCCGAAAGCUAUUUAGGUAGCGCCUCGUGAAUUCAUCUCCGGGGGUAGAGCACUGUUUCGGCAAGGGGGUCAUCCCGACUUACCAACCCGAUGCAAACUGCGAAUACCGGAGAAUGUUAUCACGGGAGACACACGGCGGGUGCUAACGUCCGUCGUGAAGAGGGAAACAACCCAGACCGCCAGCUAAGGUCCCAAAGUCAUGGUUAAGUGGGAAACGAUGUGGGAAGGCCCAGACAGCCAGGAUGUUGGCUUAGAAGCAGCCAUCAUUUAAAGAAAGCGUAAUAGCUCACUGGUCGAGUCGGCCUGCGCGGAAGAUGUAACGGGGCUAAACCAUGCACCGAAGCUGCGGCAGCGACACUAUGUGUUGUUGGGUAGGGGAGCGUUCUGUAAGCCUGUGAAGGUGUACUGUGAGGUAUGCUGGAGGUAUCAGAAGUGCGAAUGCUGACAUAAGUAACGAUAAAGCGGGUGAAAAGCCCGCUCGCCGGAAGACCAAGGGUUCCUGUCCAACGUUAAUCGGGGCAGGGUGAGUCGACCCCUAAGGCGAGGCCGAAAGGCGUAGUCGAUGGGAAACAGGUUAAUAUUCCUGUACUUGGUGUUACUGCGAAGGGGGACGGAGAAGGCUAUGUUGGCCGGGCGACGGUUGUCCCGGUUUAAGCGUGUAGGCUGGUUUUCCAGGCAAAUCCGGAAAACUAAGGCUGAGGCGUGAUGACGAGGCACUACGGUGCUGAAGCAACAAAUGCCCUGCUUCCAGGAAAAGCCUCUAAGCAUCAGGUAACAUCAAAUCGUACCCCAAACCGACACAGGUGGUCAGGUAGAGAAUACCAAGGCGCUUGAGAGAACUCGGGUGAAGGAACUAGGCAAAAUGGUGCCGUAACUUCGGGAGAAGGCACGCUGAUAUGUAGGUGAAGUCCCUCGCGGAUGGAGCUGAAAUCAGUCGAAGAUACCAGCUGGCUGCAACUGUUUAUUAAAAACACAGCACUGUGCAAACACGAAAGUGGACGUAUACGGUGUGACGCCUGCCCGGUGCCGGAAGGUUAAUUGAUGGGGUCAGCGCAAGCGAAGCUCUUGAUCGAAGCCCCGGUAAACGGCGGCCGUAACUAUAACGGUCCUAAGGUAGCGAAAUUCCUUGUCGGGUAAGUUCCGACCUGCACGAAUGGCGUAAUGAUGGCCAGGCUGUCUCCACCCGAGACUCAGUGAAAUUGAACUCGCUGUGAAGAUGCAGUGUACCCGCGGCAAGACGGAAAGACCCCGUGAACCUUUACUAUAGCUUGACACUGAACAUUGAGCCUUGAUGUGUAGGAUAGGUGGGAGGCUUUGAAGUGUGGACGCCAGUCUGCAUGGAGCCGACCUUGAAAUACCACCCUUUAAUGUUUGAUGUUCUAACGUUGACCCGUAAUCCGGGUUGCGGACAGUGUCUGGUGGGUAGUUUGACUGGGGCGGUCUCCUCCUAAAGAGUAACGGAGGAGCACGAAGGUUGGCUAAUCCUGGUCGGACAUCAGGAGGUUAGUGCAAUGGCAUAAGCCAGCUUGACUGCGAGCGUGACGGCGCGAGCAGGUGCGAAAGCAGGUCAUAGUGAUCCGGUGGUUCUGAAUGGAAGGGCCAUCGCUCAACGGAUAAAAGGUACUCCGGGGAUAACAGGCUGAUACCGCCCAAGAGUUCAUAUCGACGGCGGUGUUUGGCACCUCGAUGUCGGCUCAUCACAUCCUGGGGCUGAAGUAGGUCCCAAGGGUAUGGCUGUUCGCCAUUUAAAGUGGUACGCGAGCUGGGUUUAGAACGUCGUGAGACAGUUCGGUCCCUAUCUGCCGUGGGCGCUGGAGAACUGAGGGGGCUGCUCCUAGUACGAGAGGACCGGAGUGGACGCAUCACUGGUGUUCGGGUUGUCAUGCCAAUGGCACUGCCCGGUAGCUAAAUGCGGAAGAGAUAAGUGCUGAAAGCAUCUAAGCACGAAACUUGCCCCGAGAUGAGUUCUCCCUGACUCCUUGA